rnacentral:rRNA from 1 species
UGAGGAAUAUUGGUCAAUGGGCGUAAGCCUGAACCAGCCAAGUCGCGUGAAGGAUGAAGGUUCUAUGGAUCGUAAACUUCUUUUAUAGGGGAAUAAAGUGCACCACGAGUGGUGUUUUGUAUGUACCCUAGGAAUAAGCAUCGGCUAACUCCGUGCCAGCAGCCGCGGUAAUACGUAGGGGGCAAGCGUUGUCCGGAAUUAUUGGGCGUAAAGGGAGCGCAGGUGGAUCGUAAAGUCUUGUUUAAAAGAGCGGGGCUCAACCCCGUUAGGGACAAGAAACUUAAGAUCUUGAGUGCAGGAGAGGGAAGCGGAAUUCCUAGUGUAGCGGUGAAAUGCGUAGAUAUAGGGAGGAACACCAGUGGCGAAGGCGGCCUGCUGGACAUUAACUGACGCUGAGGCGCGAAAGCGUGGGGAGCAAACA